rnacentral:rRNA from 1 species
AUUUUUUCCAUAUAAGGACAUUGUAAUCUAUUAGCAUAUACCAAAUUUAUCAUAAAAUAUAACUUAUAGUUUAUUCCAAUUAAAUUGCUUGCAUUUUAACACAGAAUAAAUGUUAUUAAUUUGAUAAAGUGCUGAUAGAUUUAUAUGAUUACAGUGCGUUAAUUUUUCGGAAUUAUAUAAUGGCAUAAUUAUCAUUGAUUUUUGUGUUUAUUAUAUGCACUUGUAUGAUUAACAAUGCGAAAGAUUCAGGAUACCUUCGGGACCCGUCUUGAAACACGGACCAAGGAGUCUAACAUAUGUGCAAGUUAUUGGGAUAUAAACCUAAUAGCGUAAUUAACUUGACUAAUAAUGGGAUUAGUUUUUUAGCUAUUUAUAGCUAAUUAACACAAUCCCGGGGCGUUCUAUAUAGUUAUGUAUAAUGUAUAUUUAUAUUAUUUAUGCCUCUAACUGGAACGUACCUUGAGCAUAUAUGCUGUGACCCGAAAGAUGGUGAACUAUACUUGAUCAGGUUGAAGUCAGGGGAAACCCUGAUGGAAGACCGAAACAGUUCUGACGUGCAAAUCGAUUGUCAGAAUUGAGUAUAGGGGCGAAAGACCAAUCGAACCAUCUAGUAGCUGGUUCCUUCCGAAGUUUCCCUCAGGAUAGCUGGUGCAUUUUAAUAUUAUAUAAAAUAAUCUUAUCUGGUAAAGCGAAUGAUUAGAGGCCUUAGGGUCGAAACGAUCUUAACCUAUUCUCAAACUUUAAAUGGGUAAGAACCUUAACUUUCUUGAUAUGAAGUUCAAGGUUAUGAUAUAAUGUGCCCAGUGGGCCACUUUUGGUAAGCAGAACUGGCGCUGUGGGAUGAACCAAACGUAAUGUUACGGUGCCCAAAUUAACAACUCAUGCAGAUACCAUGAAAGGCGUUGGUUGCUUAAAACAGCAGGACGGUGAUCAUGGAAGUCGAAAUCCGCUAAGGAGUGUGUAACAACUCACCUGCCGAAGCAACUAGCCCUUAAAAUGGAUGGCGCUUAAGUUGUAUACCUAUACAUUACCGCUAAAGUAGAUGAUUUAUAUUACUUGUGAUAUAAAUUUUGAAACUUUAGUGAGUAGGAAGGUACAAUGGUAUGCGUAGAAGUGUUUGGCGUAAGCCUGCAUGGAGCUGCCAUUGGUACAGAUCUUGGUGGUAGUAGCAAAUAAUCGAAUGAGACCUUGGAGGACUGAAGUGGAGAAGGGUUUCGUGUGAACAGUGGUUGAUCACGAGUUAGUCGGUCCUAAGUUCAAGGCGAAAGCCGAAAAUUUUCAAGUAAAACAAAAAUGCCUAACUAUAUAAACAAAGCGAAUUAUAAUACACUUGAAUAAUUUUGAACGAAAGGGAAUACGGUUCCAAUUCCGUAACCUGUUGAGUAUCCGUUUGUUAUUAAAUAUGGGCCUCGUGCUCAUCCUGGCAACAGGAACGACCAUAAAGAAGCCGUCGAGAGAUAUCGGAAGAGUUUUCUUUUCUGUUUUAUAGCCGUACUACCAUGGAAGUCUUUCGCAGAGAGAUAUGGUAGAUGGGCUAGAAGAGCAUGACAUAUACUGUUGUGUCGAUAUUUUCUCCUCGGACCUUGAAAAUUUAUGGUGGGGACACGCAAACUUCUCAACAGGCCGUACCAAUAUCCGCAGCUGGUCUCCAAGGUGAAGAGUCUCUAGUCGAUAGAAUAAUGUAGGUAAGGGAAGUCGGCAAAUUAGAUCCGUAACUUCGGGAUAAGGAUUGGCUCUGAAGAUUGAGAUAGUCGGGCUUGAUUGGGAAACAAUAACAUGGUUUAUGUGCUCGUUCUGGGUAAAUAGAGUUUCUAGCAUUUAUGUUAGUUACUUGUUCCCCGGAUAGUUUAGUUACGUAGCCAAUUGUGGAACUUUCUUGCUAAAAUUUUUAAGAAUACUAUUUGGGUUAAACCAAUUAGUUCUUAUUAAUUAUAACGAUUAUCAAUUAACAAUCAAUUCAGAACUGGCACGGACUUGGGGAAUCCGACUGUCUAAUUAAAACAAAGCAUUGUGAUGGCCCUAGCGGGUGUUGACACAAUGUGAUUUCUGCCCAGUGCUCUGAAUGUCAAAGUGAAGAAAUUCAAGUAAGCGCGGGUCAACGGCGGGAGUAACUAUGACUCUCUUAAGGUAGCCAAAUGCCUCGUCAUCUAAUUAGUGACGCGCAUGAAUGGAUUAACGAGAUUCCUACUGUCCCUAUCUACUAUCUAGCGAAACCACAGCCAAGGGAACGGGCUUGGAAUAAUUAGCGGGGAAAGAAGACCCUUUUGAGCUUGACUCUAAUCUGGCAGUGUAAGGAGACAUAAGAGGUGUAGAAUAAGUGGGAGAUAUUAGACCUCGGUUUGGUAUCGUCAAUGAAAUACCACUACUCUUAUUGUUUCCUUACUUACUUGAUUAAAUGGAACGUGUAUCAUUUCCUAGCCAUUAUACGGAUAUAUUUAUUAUAUCUUAUGGUAUUGGGUUUUGAUGCAAGCUUCUUGAUCAAAGUAUCACGAGUUUGUUAUAUAAUCGCAAACAAAUUCUUUAAUAAAACGAUGCAUUUAUGUAUUUUUGAUUUGAAAAUUUGGUAUAACUCCAAUUACUCAGGUAUGAUCCAAUUCAAGGACAUUGCCAGGUAGGGAGUUUGACUGGGGCGGUACAUCUCUCAAAUAAUAACGGAGGUGUCCCAAGGCCAGCUCAGUGCGGACAGAAACCACACAUAGAGCAAAAGGGCAAAUGCUGACUUGAUCUCGGUGUUCAGUACACACAGGGACAGCAAAAGCUCGGCCUAUCGAUCCUUUUGGUUUAAAGAGUUUUUAACAAGAGGUGUCAGAAAAGUUACCAUAGGGAUAACUGGCUUGUGGCGGCCAAGCGUUCAUAGCGACGUCGCUUUUUGAUCCUUCGAUGUCGGCUCUUCCUAUCAUUGUGAAGCAAAAUUCACCAAGCGUUGGAUUGUUCACCCAUGCAAGGGAACGUGAGCUGGGUUUAGACCGUCGUGAGACAGGUUAGUUUUACCCUACUAAUGACAAAACGUUGUUGCGACAGCAUUCCUGCGUAGUACGAGAGGAACCGCAGGUACGGACCAAUGGCACAAUACUUGUUCGAGCGAACAGUGGUAUGACGCUACGUCCGUUGGAUUAUGCCUGAACGCCUCUAAGGUCGUAUCCGUGCUGGACUGCAAUGAUAAAUAAGGGGCAAUUUGCAUUGU